AGAGAGAGAGAGGAAGUGGUGAGGAUGCUCAACAGUCGCUGCAGCUCUUCAUCUCAUCUCUUCACCGUCAGUCAGUCAAAGAGUUUUCACCUCGCACGUCACAGCAGCGGCAUCGAACCGUCGAUGUUCCACUGACCAUCACUCAUCACCGUCUGCACACGACCAUGUCUGUUCAGGAGCCGUACGUCUGGGAAAUGCACUUUCGGUAAAGCCUCGUUCAAGAUGUCAACUCUCACUGCCAACAGUGUGGGAGGAGGAACCAAAACCUCCAGAGCGUCGAAGGAUCAUAGAAAGCCCACGGCGGCCAUCUUGAAAGGAGCCAUCCAGCUGGGCAUCAGCUACGCAGUUGGAAACCUCAGCUCCAAACCGGACAGAGAUGUUCUCAUGCAGGACUUCUCCGUGGUGGAGAGCGUCUUCCUGCCCAGCGAGGGCAGCAACCUGACGCCAGCACACCACUAUCCAGAUUUCCGUCUGAAAACGUACGCCCCGCUGGCCUUCCGCUACUUCAGGGAGCUGUUUGGCAUCAAACCAGACGACUACCUGUGCUCCAUGUGUAAUGAGCCUCUGAUCGAGCUCUCCAACUCGGGCGCCAGCAGCUCCUGGUUCUACCUCACCAGCGACGAUGAGUUCAUCAUCAAGACGGUGCAGCACAAGGAGGCGGAGUUCCUGCAGAAGCUGCUGCCCGGUUACUACAUGAAUUUGAACCAGAAUCCGAGGACGCUGCUGCCCAAGUUCUACGGUCUGUACUGCAUCCAGUGCGGCGGCGUCACCGUGCGCGUGGUGGUGAUGAACAACGUGCUGCCGCGCGCCAUGAAGAUGCACUACAAGUACGACCUGAAGGGCUCCUCGUACAAGCGCCGCGCCUCGCGCAAGGAGCGCGGCAAGUCCUCGCCCACGUUCAAGGACCUGGACCUCCAGGAGAUGCACGAGGGCCUGCACUUCGACGCGGACACCUACAACGCCCUGAUGAAGACGCUGCAGAGGGACUGUCGGGUCUUGGAGAGCUUCAAGAUCAUGGACUACAGCCUCCUGCUGGGGAUCCACGUUCUGGACCGCAAGCCGCUGGGCAGAGGGAGCCGGUGUGACAGCAGGAGAGGACAGAGGGUCCUCUACUCCACCGCCCUCGAGUCCAUCCAGGGGAACGUGAGGGAUCCCGAACCUGUGGCCGCCGACGACGACACAUUGGGCGGAAUUCCUGCCAAACAUAAGGAUGAGAACCUGCUCAUCUUUUUAGGAAUCAUCGACAUCCUUCAGUCCUACAGGUUCAUUAAGAAGGUGGAACACUCUUGGAAAGCUCUCGUGCAUGACGGGGUAUGUAACAUUAGGUCCUGCUCCGUACCGGCAGACCUCUUUGUCCAAAUGUAUAAAUAUGUAUCUGUUCGUGUGUGUGUGUGUGUGUGUGGGGGGGGGGGACAUGUACUGUAUUUAACAGCUUCCUCUUCCUCUCAGGAUACCGUGUCCGUCCACAGGCCCAGCUUCUACGCAGACAGGUUCCUCAAGUUCAUGGGCUCGACUGUGUUCAAAAAGAGCCACCCCUUAAGAGGAGCGUCUUCAAAGAGGAAGAGGAAUUCCCUCCACGCGGGCAAGUCGGCCUCCCAGGAGUUCCUGUCCCCGCCGAGGGAGGAGAAGGCGGCGGGGAAGAAGGCCCAGAGCAUGGACCACCUGGACGGAGACUGUACGUCUGAAAGGUUUACAGUUCCUCCAAGCAACCGGACCUUCUGUCCAGAGCUGCCGUUUGUUUUGUGUCCGGCCUGAAUGACGAAGAGGAGGAUCUCGGAAACAGUGAAGACCGACGAGCGUCCAGUUCGACGAUCGCUCUGGACGACCCUCUGCCGUCCCUCAGCAGUAGCCAAUUGGACGCUGAGCUGGACGUCUACUUGUGAGUGACGGCUCCUUUUCCAGCCACCUGUUGGUCUGACCUUUGACCUCCCGGUCGCAUGGCAUCGAGACAUCAGGACGUCACCGUCUGAACGUGACCCGACGACAACAGGAAGUGACACGUCGAUGUCGGUGCCUCUUUAUGUGCAUUUAACACAAAACACUAUCAAGCCGCCUCCCAGGUUGUUUUUCUGCACUUUGCUGCUAAUUUACAGUGCUAACAAUUAUAUUAUAUCAUAUAUAAUAACAAUAAUUUAAAAAAAAAUGGAUGUCUGACUUUCUAUGAAUAGUAAAUGUUCAAAUUUUCUCAGCGGCUGGAUCCCUGAGGAAACAAACUGCCUUAUUACUUAAUUUGAAAAAUCCUAUAGAGAUGUGAUCUGAGAUCUUUUCUGGUUUCAGGUUUCGAAAUUAAAAAUGACAUUCAAAUAUGCAGGACCGUUAAAAAAGUAUGUGUGACUGAUCUUAAAAUCCCCAGUUUGCAUAAAGCAAAUAAAUCAAUAUCCUCAAACACAUUAAUCAAUUUAUUACCUACCACACGUGUAUUUUUAUUCUAACGUACAGAAUCUUGCUGCCGCCAUGACAACAAAUCUGUUUGCUUUGUUUCUCGUGACAGAAUAAGUUGUUGCCAUACGACAGGAUGUAAAUUCAAAGAUGCUAUAAUCACUUAUUUUCCAAACAGAUAUAUUAAAAAACUUUUUGGGAAAAUAUUCCUUUCUUUCUUUACUGAGAUGUAAUAGCUCUGUUAUGAACUCUUCUGAAUCCUGUAGCAAUAUUUUCGCCAUUAUGUCUUAUCAUUUUUUGUCCAUGUGCCUUAAAAAAAAAAAAAGUGCGAGCUUUGAUUUAUAGGCCUUCAACUGUAUUAUAUUAACAAUAUGUUUAUCUUUGAAAUAAAUUAAUAUUUAAUGUC